CAGCUGCUCUGAACUUCGCCUCCUGUCAUAACAACACGUCACCACUGAGGCUCCCGGCAGGACCCGGAUACGGUGACGUCAAUAGGUGGCGACAACCCGGAAGUAGGCGUGGCCACAGGUGACCGUUAUCAGCCUACAGUCCGGAUCAUUAACACCGUCGGCGCCCGAACACGACAGGAGCCCUUCUAUAUCUACACAAUUCUCUCUCUAUGGUCGGAGCUGACGCGGCCCGCAGUGCAUGUCGGAUAUUGUAGUUUUAUAUCUCUGCCAGGACUCGCUGUAUAAUAGGUGGAGCUGCCUUGUGUGUCUUCACAGAACUACAGGGACUGUGCGACGAAAGACACGGAAAGCCUCGAGCGAGCCUCCAGGACGGAGAUUACAACCAUUAUAUCUGUCAUAUGAUCUCCGGGUAAACAGUAUGAAGAGCUGACACUACCAACCUGCCAGAAGAAGUGAAGGCUAAAUAUAUCCCUCUCCGGAGAACAUCAUGAAGUCCUCUGAUCAGACAGGAAACCGCACGGCACGCCACAAACCAUCACGCGGUAUCACCGCUAAUAAUAGCGUUCCGCACUGUGCACCCACCGCACCAUCGGUGCCUCACACAUCACUAGUGACCUUCAUCUUAUCAACACCCAACAUGUGGACGGUUCCCACCACAAAAGAAAUAGAAGCUUUCUAACAUGAAUGU